rnacentral:lncRNA from 1 species
UUGUGUGCCAUACCCCCUCAAGGGUCAAGGCGUAUUCAAGGCCCCUAACCAGAAAAGCGCACGGGGUCUUGGAAGACGGAAGGAGAGACUGCGGAACCAGUGUUCUGGCGGUUGCGGUUCUCGGAGGGAAGUCAAUUCCGCGGACCGGUAGUGAAGAGCACCAAAGCUUGUUUCCGGCCACCUCAGCGGGAAGCGGAGACGCAGGCAGCUGGAUCUUCGGGAACUCAGAUAGAGGUGUAACUGCGGUCGCGGCGGAGGAAGUCGGGACAACGUCUGCGGCCGCCGGGCCAGUGUUGGGUCCCCGAAGCCUGUGAAGAUGGUGUUGCUUACGAUGAUCGCUCGGGUGGCGGACGGGCUCCCGCUGGCCGCCUCGAUGCAGGAGGACGAACAGGUGAGCUGUUCUAUCCCCGCGCCCCCAAGUCCCUGCCAGAGCUCUGUGUUCUCAGUACCGGAUUUCUUCUUAGAACGCAGGCGACCUUUGCGACCUCCCGUGCACUCCCGACCCCUCUGAACUGCUCUUUUUAUCUUUUGGCAGUGGAGAAACUACUUGUUAAAAGAAAUCAUUCCUGAAGACGGAGGUAGAUUUUUGCCUUUCCUGUUUUUUUUUUUUUUUUUAUAGAAAGACGCUCCGGCGUAGGGAUAGGUUCGACUGAUUGUGAUCACCCAGUGUUGUGUAACUCUUAGAGACUUUGGUAAAAUUCGAGAUUUCUGUUUUUCUGCUGCUGUUGAGGCUAACAGGUCCUGGGAGAAAUCAGCUCCCAAGUUCUUCAACCUCUUUCACUGUGGCACUUGAUCCUUGACCUAUCUUGAUGACAUCUUUUGAAAGUGGGUGAGAUAAUAUUGCCACAUAUAGACACCUGUUUGAAGUUCAGUACAGUACUUUCUUUCAAGUUUAUGUCCAAUUCCCACCUCCUCCAGUAAGCCUUACUAAAUUCCUACUAUUGGGAUUAUAACUUCUGUGUUAUAUUUCUGUUAACGCCUUGUACCUUUAUUUUGCUACUUUCUUUUGUUUUUCAAUAAAUUGAGAUUCCUAUGAGGCAGUCGACAGGUCUUAAUGAUCUUUGUGCUUCUCAUAGCUUUUACGGCAGCAGCUUUAUGCUAAUAAGUGCUCAAAAAAUGUAUUGAAUUGAUUUAAAAACAACAGCUUCAAAUAUCUUGAAAAGUAAGCUUUGUGCCUUAGAAUCACAAGGGAAGGUUCUGGUGUGAGACAGAUUUCUGGAGCAAGGUGGGGAGAUCUCUGAAGAAGGGAGGCUGAGAAUGAAAUUUAUGUAAUUUAUUUAAAGUGAUCAAUUUUAGUUUACUUUCUCGAACAACCUAAGUUUUUUUUAAAAAAAACUUAAGGCCUAAAAAAAAGAUGAAUUCUAGGAAAUUAUUUUGCAUAUAUCUGUUGGAUUUUUCACGGAAAAAAACCCAAAACCCUUAUUAAGCACAUCAACUGUGUCAAGCAUGGUGAUUAUACAGGUUAGAGGACACAGUCCCUACUUUCAUGGAGCUUACAGUUUAGUGGAAAAGCCAGAAAACAAAUAAGCAAUUAUAACAUAGUAUAAUUGCUAUGGAAGAGGAAGAAGGCUCUGUGGUUGAACAUGGAAAAGGUGUCUAGGUUGGUUUUGGGAGAUCAGGAAAGUCUUCCCAGAAGAAAUGACUUCUCAGCUGACAGUGUUGUUUAGUAAUAAGGAAAGCUUCUAUUUAGUUUUAUGCCUUUUUAGGUUUGACUUGGAAAUAUGUUUAUUUUCACUUUUAGGAGAGUAGCAAUACAGAUCACAAAAUUGCAGGUCCUGCUAAGUGAAGUAUUUUCAAUUUAUUGCACAAGACAAAGUCUAAUCAUUUAUAUAAAAUUUGAAAAAUAUAAUGUGCCCUUAAUAUUCAACUGUGAAAUAUUUUUCUUUUCUCUCAAUUUGUUAAGAAUUUUCUAGGACCACUCUGCAGAAGGAGUGAAAUUGUUAAAAUAAGUGCAGGAACGUGACUUGAGCAAGGGAGAUAGUGUGGAGAAAUUUUCCUUAAAGUAUAUAUAUAGUUUGACCAAGAAAUGGUUUUUCCCAGGGAGGAGUCUGGUCAGUUUAUUGCAUUAGAUUUCAGUGUGGGCAAAGAAUACAAAGUGAAUUUGAAAGUCUACUUAAUAUUAGUAGUUCCUUACUCUCUGCCUUGAUGCUUUAUUGAAAAAGUAAUUGAUAUAUUAUUGUGUGUUUCUUAAUUCCAAAUUAGGUGUUGGUCUACCAAGAUGGGUUACUUUGUUUAAUUGACAAAGAAAUUUUCCACAAGAAUAUUUUUGUGAUGGCAAUUCCAUAAUUAUUUCCUUUAGGAAUUUAGGCUUUGAAUGAUAAAAUCUUUCCCUGAUUUUUAAUAUCUACAUUAUGAGUCUUAGACUCAUUUUUAUUAUGUUAAUAGUAAAAGGAACAUUUAUAGAAUGCAUACUACAUGCCAAGCACUGUGCUAAAGCCUGUCAAGUAUUUGAUUUCAUUCAAUCUUCAUACCAAUCAUAUUAGGAUAGUUUAGUGGUAUUCUUCCCAUUUACAGGGAAGGAAGCUCUGAGGCAUAGAGAUGAUAGGUUUUUUUGUAUGAGCCACAUAGUGAAUAAGUAGUAAAAUGGAAUUUUUCAUCAGUUUCUUAAUAUCAACACUAUUGAUGUUUUCGGUCAGAUAAUUAUUUGUUGUGCGAAACGGUCUCGUGCAUUGUAGGAUGUAUGCUAGUAACUCUGGCCUCUGCCUCUUAGAUGCCAAUAGCACUACCACCACCUCCACACCUCCAAUUGAGUAAUAUUCCUGGACAUUGCCAGAUGUGAUCUGGGGGUGGGAGGGCAGAGUCGCCCUGGCUUAAGAGCCACUGUUUUGGGUUUUUUUUUAAUGGUUAUUUAUUUUUAAUUUUUUUUUUUUCAACGUUUAUUUAUUUUUAGGACAGAGAGAGACAGAGCAUGAACGGGGGAGGGGCAGAGAGAGAGGGAGACACAGAAUCGGAAACAGGCUCCAGGCUCUGAGCCAUCAGCCCAGAGCCUGACGCGGGGCUCGAACUCACAGACCGCGAGAUCGUGACCUGGCUGAAGUAGGACGCUUAACCGACUGCGCCACCCAGGUGCCCCAAUGGUUAUUUAUUUUGAGAGAGAGAGAGAGAGAGCAGGGGAGGGGCAGAAAGAGAGAGAGAGAGAGAGAGAGAGAGAGAGAAUCCUAAGUAGGCUCCACACCAUCAAUGCAGAGUCCGAUGCGGGGCUCAAACCCAUGAACCACGACAUCAUGACCUGAGCUGAAAUCAAGAGUGAGAACGCUUAACCGACUGAGCCACUCAGGUGCCUCAAGAACCACUGGUUUUUAAUCAGUAUUUGUCUGACUUCAGACCAGAGCCUUAGUGCCUAACUGGUACACUUAACAGCCAUGUUCUAAGACUUUUUGAUAAUGUAUCUACUUCCUUUUUUUUUAAUUUUUAAAAAAAAAUUUUUUUCAACGUUUUUUAUUUAUUUUUGGGACAGAGAGAGACAGAGCAUGAACGGGGGAGGGGCAGAGAGAGAGGGAGACACAGAAUCGGAAACAGGCUCCAGGCUCUGAGCCAUCAGCCCAGAGCCUGACGCGGGGCUCGAACUCACGGACCGCGAGAUCGUGACCUGGCUGAAGUCGGAUGCUUAACCGACUGCGCCACCCAGGCGCCCCAGAUAAUGUAUCUACUUCUUAGGAGUCUAAAAAUAACUUUUUAAGAAAUGGCUAUUUCAGCCAAAUAGUUUUUAUUUCUUUAAGUGUUUAUUUUUAAGAGAGAGAGACCGAGUGCAAGUGGGAUAAGGGCAGAGAGAGAGGGAGACACAAAAUCCGAAGCACGCUCCAGGCUCUGAGCUGGCACAGAGCCCAGCAUGGGGCUCGAACUCAGGAACCGCGAGAUCAUGACCCCAGCUGAAGUCAGAAGCUUAACGGAAGUCGGAAGCUUAACCGACUGAGCCACCCAGGCACCCCUCAGCCAAAUAGUUCUGUAGUCGAGUACUUUAAUUGUUCAGGCCAAGUAAUUCAAUGUACUUUUUCAAUUAUUUACACUGAUAACAGAUGUCGUAUGUUACUAGUGCUAGUCCUGUAUAAGCUGCCUUACUACUGGAGGUGAACAGUUAUUCAGAUAAUACAGUGGAGAGUAAAAUUCAAAAAAUGAUGUAGGCAGAGUAUCUCAUCCACUGUUUCCUCUGUGCUCAACUAGAAGUAUCAGCCUAGGGCGAUAGAGAGAUGAACUUUUCUUUUCAAACCUAGACUCUCUGAUAUUCUAUUUCCUUUCUUUUUACCUUUCUGGUGUGUUUCUUCUUUUUGGAUGUUUGCAUCUCUUCAUCUACCUUUGUGUUCUACCUCAAAAUGACGGUGUUCUCUUUCCUUUCAUUUUGCCCCAGCUCUGUGGACUUGAAGACGAUAUUUGAUCUAACCAAGUAUUCAGCAGGGAGCACCAAAAAAGCAGAUAGUCUGUUGUACAUUUUAAACUGCAUUGCUCCCCCAAUUAUUGAGGGUUCAUUAGUCACCUUACUGUAAUUGCUUUUAGAGGAAAAUGGUUGGUUCUUGGUGCUGCUGGCCUUUGACCAGCCAAGUACAACAGGGAUUUUAAAAUGAUUAGAGCUUAGCUAAACAUUCUUAUAAAGACAAAAGGUGGCAUUUGAUAUAGUUAGUUGUUCAGCAGUCCUAGGUGAUAGCAAUAAAAAGUGUUGUGGUUGUGUGGGAAAUUUCUACCCUGUACCUGUUAUAUUAUAUAUAUAUAGAACCAAAUCCUAAAUACACUAUUAGGAUUGCAGAUUAGUUUCAGAAAUUGUCCAUUCACAUCCAUUUCAUUAUCGGAUUGCUAACACAUCUUUCCAUUAUACUGUAUAUAAGCUUCAUGAAGUCUGUUGUAGAUGAAGUGGAAAACAGAAUGAGGACAUCUAAUCUGUUUUUAGGCAGUCUGGAGGCUGUGGGCCUUUUGUGACUUUAGUCUUGAAAGCAAACUGAGGUUCUGUCUGUACAGUGGUGAAUAUGUUGUUUUGUGAGAUCUAGAUCAGAGCUGCCAGUUCUGAUCACAGUUUCCUGAGAAUUUCCUAUGAAUUAGAUUUAAUAUGAAAUAGUAAGAUCACCCAGAAAGUGGAUCUGCUAUCACCGAAGCAAUUUUAAUUGUAGAGGUGCUAUCGCAUGUUUAGGAACGCAGACUCCAGAGCUAGACUGCCUGGCUUCAGAUUCUUACCCCUCCUCUUAUUGGCCUCUCGUCCUUGGGCAAGUUUGAUUUCUCAUACAGAAAAUGGGCGUAAUGAUUCUAAUCACCUCAUAAGGUAGUUGUAAAGCUUAUUGGAGUUGAAUUAUGUAAAGUGUUUAGAACCAGGGCUGACAGAAAGUGAGUGCUUUCAUUUAAUUUCAUUAAUUUGCCUAUUUCUCAAAAUUUUCUUUCCAGUUCCAUUUUGCCUUUCUUAAAGUUCAGACUAGAAUUGUAUGUAUUUGUGGGUACAAAUAUGCAAUAAACAGGAAUGGGUGAAUGAACAAUUUUCCCCAUUACAAAACUAGCCUGCGCUUAUUGUAGAAAAUUCAGUAAAAAAGGAAAAACAAAAGGACCAAAAUGUUAAUGGUGAUUAUUACCAAAAUCUUUACUUAAAUUGUAUACAUUUUAACAUAAAACCUUAAUCUCUGUAUGUGUGUGUAUAUGUAUAAAAUUAAAUAAUGGGUAAUGCUGUAAGACUUCCACCUAGUUUUUUUUCACUUAGUGUGUAGUGAGUAUCUUCUCAUAUCAUUAAAUAUUAUACAGCAUUUUAAUGGCUGUAUAAUAUUCCAUUGUAUAAAUAUGCCACUGUAUAAAUAUGUUAUUUAACCAAUUUUCUAUCCAAUUACUGAACAUUUGUUUUUUAUUUUUAUAUACAUUUGUAGUUGUUUGUUUUUGUGUUUUUUUUUUAAUUUUUUUUUUUUUCAACGUUUAUUUAUUUUUUGGGACAGAGAGAGACAGAGCAUGAAUGGGGGAGGGGCAGAGAGAGAGAGAGAGACACAGAAUCGGAAACAGGCUCCAGGCUCUGAGCCAUCAGCCCAGAGCCUGACGCGGGGCUCAAACUCACAGACCGCAAGAUCGUGACCUGGCUGAAGUCGGACGCUUAACCGACUGCGCCACCCAGGCGCCCCUGUAGUUGUUUGUUUUAACAUAAAUGAUAUGUAUGUAUAUUUUCAAAGAUACAGAAUUGUUGGCUAAAACAAUAUGUAAAAUUUUGUAACUUCUAAUACAUAUUGCAAAAAUACCUACCAGAAAGAUUGCGCCCGUGUUGUGUUCUCAGGGAACGGUGAUGCUGAUGGAACCAGCACUGUAAAAUGUUGGUUGGCGUGCCACAAUCUCUGUGUAAUCUCAGUGUCAUUAUAGAUCCCCGAAACUGCAGCAUGCUUUCGGCCAUAGUUUCUUGUAGUCCAUACAGUGGUUAGUCUCUUUCUCUUUGGUUGCAGCGAUGUUUACAAUGCUUCUUAUAAAGUCAAAGGAUUUAUACCAGUCUUUAUUUGACUGACAGUUUUUCUGCCAUUUAUUUCUUCACCUGGUUCCUUUGCCUUUAGUUGUCAAAAACAUUUUUACUUAACAUCUGUGGUUGUGGUUAUUUUUAAAACACCAAUUUCUGAGUUCCACCUCUGAGAUACUGAUUUAAUUGGUUUGGAGGUAGAGAUAGGGCUUGAUUAGUUUUUGUGCAACCCCCAAGUGAUUCUGGUGUAAAGCCAAGGUUGAAAAAUCAUUGAUGUAUGUGGAUAUUAUUCCUUGGCACUUUAGUAACAUUUCCAACUUUAUUUACAUCUGUUCUGUCUACUGCUGUGGGGUCAGAUCUCUUCCAAAUGCCACAUAUAAUGGCAUUGGUGAAGCAAACAAUUUGGCAAGUACCAUUCAUUUAGGGAAUGCGGGAUAUUGUGCACUAGUUCAAAGCAUAUGGUAGUUUUCACUCUCCUUUACUAGCAGAUCAGUCAUGAAAAAAAAUAUGCAAUACUGAUUAAUAUAAUAAUGUGAAUGUAUAUUAUGCUAACUAUUGUCUAGUAUUGUUAAUACAUAAAUACAUACAUAUAUAUUAAUAUAGAAAUAUUUCUUUAGAGUAGUAUAACAAAUCAUUGCCAUAGGGACAGUGCUAAAUAAGAUAAAGUGAUACUUCUAGUGGACUCUACCUAACUCUCCUCGUUCACUUCAUGCUAAUUUACUUCCUUAUUCAUAUUUAAAUUCCCAGUUUAUUAUUAAAAAAAAUUUUUUUUAAUGUUUAUUUUUUUUGAGAGAAAGAGGAGGGUAGGGACAGACAGAGAGGGAGACAUGGAAUCCAAAGCAGGCUCCAGGCUCUGAGCUGUCAGCAUAGAGCCUGACGUGGGGCUCAAACUCACAAACCAUGAGAUCAUGACCUGAGCUGAAGUCAGACGCUUAACCAACUGAGCCACCCAGGCGCCCCUCCAGUUUGUCAUUUUACAUAUGGCUUAGGAUCCUGUACUUGUACAUUUGCUUAUCUGCCACUUUCACAAUUUUAUCAUUGCUUCCUUAUUUUUACUGUUAGCUAAGUGUUUCACUAUCUAGAAUUUUAAGAUUUCACUUUGCACUUUAACAAAAAUUUUUUUUAAACGUUUAUUUAUUUUUGAGACAGAGAAAGACAGAGCAUGAAGGGGGGAGGGUCAGAGGGAGGGAGACACAGAAUCUGAAACAGGCUCCAGGCUCUGAGCUGUCAGCACAGAGCCUGACGUGGGGCUCAAACUCACGGGCCGCGAGAUCAUGACCUGAGCUGAAGUCGGCCGCUCAACCGACUGAGCCACCCAGGCGCCCCUGCACUUUUUAAAAGUCAGACCUCAGAUCCAGUCCUUGGGAGAACCUCAAAUAAAUGCUUUUUAAAUUUAAGCAUUUAGGUAUUAAACAUCUGUCAAGAAGAGACUGUGUUCUAUUGUUUAAUCCAAAAUAAAUAAUCCAAAAUAAAAUAAUUCCUUUCUAUCACAUGGCAAAAGUGCGCUCCUGCCCCCGUAUGUGGAUGAAUAAAUAAUAUGUAUUUGCUUUCCGUUCCAUUCUUUGCCUUUUGGAUUGAAUAGGUGAAUGAGGUAUGAUGUUCUCCUUUUGAGAUGACACUGGUAUUUCGUAGUAGGCUUUUUUCCUUCCUUUUUUAAAAAAUUAUUAAACUAUUUAAAAAUUGUUCAAGAAAAUAUACCUGUAAUUCUACCAUCUGAAUAUUGUUAUUUGCAUUUUGUAUGUAUAUAUCUCUUUCUUUCCAAACUCAGAAACCAAAUCUAUUCACUCAGUAAAGAAUAUUUGACUUUUCAAUCUUGGUCCUUACUCUUGUUCAUUUUUACCUAGUUGGAGUUACAGUCUUAGGAAUUUGCAGUGAUGGGUGCAUACAUUUAUUUUUGCUUAAAUGCUCAAUACUGUAACACUUAGUGGAAGGUUUUUCUUGAUAUUCCAGGAUAAAAAUGAAAUUCACCAGUCUGUUGUUCCCAGGAUUUUCUCCUGAGUAUAGAACAUGUUGUGCAGUUAUGUGCCAAUAAUUGUGCAAGUGAAAGGGGUUAGGAGGACCCAUUUCCACUGACCUAACAGUGGAAAGAACACUGGAUUGAAAGUUAAGAGUGGCUUAGGCAGUUGAGAAGUACAAAUAACGUGAUUUUCUUGAACAACUAGGGGUUUGAUCUUUUUUGCUCUAAAAGUAGGGCAUUUUUUAAAAAAAAAUGAAUCUUAUUAACCUUUUUUAUUUUUUUAUUUUUCUUUAAAAAAAUUUUUUUUAAUGUUUAUUUUUGAGAGGGUGGGGGAGGGGCAGAGAGAGAGGGAGACACAGAAUCUGAAGGCUCCAGGCUCCAAGCUGUCAGCACAGAGCCCAACGAGGGGAUCAAACUUGUGAACUGCAAGAUUGUGACCCGGGCUGAAGUCCAAUGCUUAACCAACUGAGUCUCCCAGGCGCCCUGGAUUUUUUAAAUUUUUCUUAAGUAUUCUUUAUUUAACUAAUCUCUAUACUCAGUGUGGAGCUCAAACUCAACACCUUGAGAUCAAGAGUCGCGUGCUUUUCUGACUGAGCCAUCCAGGGGCCCCUGUAUUUUAUUAACCUUCAAUGAAGGACCUUACUUACAUAGUGUUCUCAUAAUAUGAUGCUUCUCACGAAUUGUUAUGGCUGUUUUUUUGUGUGGAAAAUUCUUAAAUGAAGGUGUCUUCUUUCAGUCUGGCCGGGACCUUCAACAGUACCAGAGUCAGGCUAAGCAACUCUUUCGCAAAUUGAAUGAACAGUCCCCUACCAGAUGUACCUUGGAAGCUGGCGCCAUGACUUUCCAGUGAGUAUAAUCCUAUUUCUUUGUGAUCAUUUAAGUAUGAAAUACAGUAAAUUUAAGUAACAUCUGAGAACAAUGGUAACAAUUUUUCAAAAGUAAAGAAUAUUUUAAAAAUAUAGUCUCUUCAUGGAAGGAACUUCCCUGGCUCUAAUUCUGCAAAACUGAAAUCUUGUUUUGUUGAUUCAAUUUGCAUACAAUAAAUUAACUGUUUUAUCCUGUGCAUACAGUAAAUUAACGUGUUUUAUCCUCUGUCUAAUGAAUGCUAUACCCAUCGUGCAAUAAUAGAUUAAUUUUUUGCUUUAGGAGUUUCUUAGAGCCAGAUGUCUGUAGAUUAAUACUCUUGCUCAAACACUUACUAACAAGACAACCUUGAACAACCCACAUAUACCUCUCUAGGGCCUUAGUUUCCUCUAUAAAAUAGGGGAAAUAGUCAUAGUUUGUGAGAAUAAUUAGGGAAUCUAUUUAUAUCUCUUAACAUCUUGCCUGGCACAGAGAGAAUAUCAGUAAAUGUUAGUUGUUAGAAAAAGGAAAAUUAUAAAAAAUAAUUUUAGAGCAUCACAAUCAGUGGUAUUAGUGCAUAUAACUGAGAAAGGGCUCAAAAGGACUUUAAAUUACCUGCAAGUAAUUGGUAUUAAAUGUUUAAUACAUGUCAAGUUUGAGGGUGAUUAAAACAGAAAGGAUUAAAAAAAGAGAGGACAGUAAGAUCAGAGGAAAAUAAAAAAGGAUUAGCUAAAUAAUCCUUGUUAUUUUAGGACCUCAGAUGCUAAGAUAAUAUAGACCUGGGAAGGACCUGCCUUGUUUAACCUUUUUAAAGGGAGGGGAAAUUUUUCCACCCAUCAGAAACAAACAAGUAUACAAAACUAAAAUCGAAACAAAACCCUGGCUUAUUGGUUAAGAAUGUAGUAGAUGUGGGGUGCCUGGGUGGCUCAGUCGGUUAAGCGUCCAACUUUGUCUCAGAUUAUGAUCUCACAGUUCGUGAGUUCGAGCCCCGUGUCGGGCUUUGUGCUGACAGCUCAGAGCCUGGAGCCUGCUUCAGAUUGUGUCUCCCUCUCUCUGCCCCUCCCCUGCUCUCACUCUCUCUCUCUCAAAAAUAAGUAAACGUUAAAAAAAAAAAAAAAAAAAAAAUUAAAAAAAAAAAGAAUGUAGUAUAUGAAACAUUUUCUAUAAAUCUAAUUUUCAACAUCAAAAAAUAUAGACACUUAAUUAUAUGUAUAAUUAUAUAUAGUAUCUUUAUUUCUAUCAUGGAUUAGGAACAAAAGAUCUAGGGAAUGGAAUUGAAUUCCUAAUGGAAUUGAAAAGAGAUUUUCUCUUGUUUGGUUCCUUUAUAAUUUCAUCUCAUCCUUUAUUUCAAUCUAAGAGUUAUAUUUUAAAGAUUUAUUCUUUACCAGACCAUAUAUUAAGUUCUGCCUUUAUCUUAUUAGCAGAGAGAAACACAUAUACAGACAACUAAACUUUAAUACCUUAAGGCAAGAAGUGCUGUAAUUCAUUUAUAAAUGACAUGCUUUGGGAGUAGAGAGAAAGAAGCAAUAAAUUCCCAUUUGUAGGGAGCAAGUUUGGGGAAAGGGGAUAGAGGGAGGGAGAAUACAGAGAAAUAUAAGCAGAAAUCUAUGAGGACUUGAAAGAACUUAAACUUGGAGAGAAGCGUGCUGUUUGGCAUAUUGGGUGUAUGAUGGAAUGUGGCCCACACCUGCUUUGGAGGCCACAAAUACUAUACCAAGGAGUAUGAUUUUAUUUUAUAGGUAUUAGAGAACCCUGAGAGUUUUUAAGCAGAAUAAUAUGGUUAUAUUUAUAUGGUUAUAUAAAACUUGUAGUUUAGAAGAUGGCCUAGACUAAAGAUAAGGAGACCAGUUGAUUUAGAUGCCCAAACACAUCAGUAUCAUUAUCAUCACGACCAUCAUCAUCGUUUUAAGGGGCCUGAGAGGUCAUAUAAUACACUAUAAACUAUGCUCUGUGGGGUCCUAGGAUGCCUUAGGAGCCACAUAGCAAGGGUAGGUAUAGGGGGUAUGUGUAAUGCUUUGGGCCCUUGAAGUCCUACUUAAACUAAUGACCUGAUUUUAUUUCAUGUGCAUAUUGAUCUUCUGAAUAUAAUUAUUGCUGAAACAAAGAGUCCUGUGGCUAAAGAGACAUUGAAAAUCACAGAGUUAACCUAAUCUCUUUCUGAGACAUCUCAGACACGUUAGCCAUGUAGCCCCUUCCAGAGUGCCAGGGAGCACCUCUCAUAGGAGGAAGUCAGUUCUGUUAUUGGAUAAUUUCUUGUAUUGGACAGUUGAUACAGAGUUCUGGCCUGGAAAUUAGGGAAUAUUAUUUAUCUUAAGGUCAUUAUCUGUACCCAGUAAACAUUGUGGCAUUAACUUCCAACUAUGAAGUAUCCACAAAAGUUUCCAUUUCCACUGUUUUUCUUAAAGCUAGAAAGAGUUUAAAUAUGUAUAUACUAAUUUCCAUACGUAAUCAAAGGUAGAUGGGGGCGUCUGGGUGGCUCAGUUGGUUGGGUGUCCUUCUCUUGGUUUCGGCUUAGGUCAUGAUCUCAUGGGUUGUGGGUUUGAGCCCUGCAUUGGGCUCCAUGCUGACAGUGCAGAGCCUGCUUGAGAUUCUCUUUCUCCCUUUCUCUCUGCCCCUUCCCUGCAUGCAGGCACGUACACUCUCUCUCUCAAAAAUGGAUAAAUUUUAAAAAAGGUAGAUGGAGUCACAACUCUUGAGUUUUCAAGAAAAAGUCUUAGGUAUUAUGAUAUUUUAGCUGGAUUAUAUAAUAAACAAUUGUAAACAUGUUUAAGUACUUCUUUUGGAAUAUAAUUCUCAUAAUGGGAAGAUGUUUGCUUUCUGAUUCCAAGGGUUUGUGGUUUGCAAUUGAUUUUCAGAUUUAGUUAGCUUCAAAGGGCUUAGGCUAGAAUAUGUUCAAAAGUCUGUAGGGCACGAAGAGUCUGCUUCAAAUUGUUGGAGGUAUUGUUAUUCUACAGACAACUUUUUCUCUUCUUUUUUUGUGUCUCUCCAGCUACAUUAUUGAGCAGGGAGUUUGUUAUUUGGUUUUGUGUGAAGCUGCCUUUCCUAAGAAAUUGGCUUUUGCCUACCUGGAAGAUUUGCACUCAGAAUUCGAUGAACAGCAUGGGAAGAAGGUGCCGACUGUGUCUAGGCCCUAUUCCUUUAUUGAGUUUGGUAAGUUUUCUCCUCAUCUCUGUAUCAAGAGAGCAAACAGUUUGGAGAAGCUGUUUGUUACACUGAUUAAUUUUGACACAUUUUUUUCUGAUGUUUACCUACUUAAGUUUUGGGUUCUGUCUUUUCCUUUCCACCUCUGUGCUUUUGAAUGAAUGAAAGUUGCUUCUCACAAGAAUUUUCUGUGGUCUUUUAGUCUUUUCCUUAGAAUUUGUUACCCUUUUCCCUUUUUGUGAUUUGGAUUGAUUCUUCGUCAGAGUCAAGAACUGUGCCUAAAGAUCUGUUUGGUUGGCAUAUAGUAGCUGAGUUCUUUCCCCCAAACCACACACACAUACGCACAGUCACAGAAAGGUUCAUUUUCUGGAGGUCUGAAUAUAGAAAUCAGAAUGACAUUUUGUUUCUUUUAAUCCUCUAGUUAAAAAAAAUUACUGGAAGAGGUAUGGCAUUGGGGGACAGCAUUUACUACCUGCAGAAAUAGUGAGCAUGGGUGUCCAUAUUUGUAUAGUAAUUAUAGAAAGACUCAUUACUGGUAAAGUAUCUGAUGGCAAUAAAUCAACAGAAAUGUUUUGGGUACUCUAGAGGAAGUGAGAAUAAGUAUGAUUAGACUAUAUUACUGAUAUUUUUAGUUAAAAGAAAUUGGUUUUACUGUUUCUGAAUUUCUGAAGUAUUUCCAUUUUGCUAGCUAACUGGCCAUCUUACUUUUUAGAAAUAAGGAAAAUUUUAGGAAAACGCUCCAGCAUUUCAUAACUACAAACUCUCCAAGUGAUAAUUUUUAUAAUGUCUGGUUUUUCACAUUUUGUUUUUGAAGAUAAUGAGGUCCAGUAAAACCAAGAAAGCAGUAAGACUGCUACAUCAAGGUCACACGAGAAAUAGUUGAUACACUCAAAUUAGCUUAAAGGAUUAUAUAUGAAUGGGUUUUAGGUGAACUGCAGGUACAGUAACCUGAGAUCAGUUACACAGUAAUUGUUUCCAUCCCCAGGCCUGAAGGGAUAAGAGAAAGGAGCAGUUUCUGAAACUGCAAAGGACAAAAUUUAUAGAGAAGGCCAUCUUGAGAGGAGGAGUUACUCUUGCUGGAGGGAUGCUGCCAGCCCAGGGUGACUUCUUGAUGGGGGUUGGGGGGAGAGGGGUUCGGGAAACAAAUACCCUAACAUCACUACCUGCUCUCCUGCCCUACUCUUGGGGCUCCCGCAUUGGUCGAACCUAACCUGGAAGCCCCCCCGAACAAGGAGCCCAUGAUGUAGUCCAUGCAGGUCAGCUGCCCAAGGCAAAAAGCAUGGUGCAGAAGGGUGGAGAGGAGGUCUAGAGAGGCAAACGAAAGGUAUCCAGCACAUAUCACUUAAGAAAAUGCCAAAAGUUGAAAAUAAAAUCUUUAGUAAUAAGUCAUUCUUUUUAUAGUUUUGAGAAAUGCAGACAUAGUCUAAACAUGAUAGCUGCAGUUCAUAGUGGUAUUUUGGGAAACUCCCUGCCACAUGUUUGCUUUACCUGAAGUUUAAGAACAGAGUGAGAUUAGGAAUGUAUGUUAAAGAAAAUACUUAAACAAAUUUUUUUUAAUGUUUAUUUUUGAGAGAGACAGAGGGAGAGAGAGAGAGCGAGGAGGGGAGGGGCAGAGAGAGAGGGAGACACAGAAUCCGAAACAGGCUCCACACUCUGAGCUGUCAGCACAGAGCCCGACAAACUGUGAGAUCAUGACUUGAGCCAAAGUUGGAAACUUAACCGACUGAGCCACCCAGGCACCCCAUGUUAAAGAAAAUACUUUAAGACCAUGUUUCCCCCCUACUUUUAAUGACAGAACCUGUAGUGAUGCUAGAUUGUUGUCAGGAUCCUUUUCAGGAAUAUAGAGUUAAGUACUAAAACCCUGAGGAUCCUCAGGACAUGGUUUGAAAAUAAUCUGCUUUCAGGAAAGGCUUACUAUAGUGGGUCUUACUUUCCAUAAGGGCCCUGAUAGCAAAGACUUCGAAUUUGAAGGUGUGCAGAGGACAUUUCUCCUGAAUGGUUGGUCAUCUGUCUUUACAUUUUACAAAUGAAAACAUCAAAACUCAAACUUUGGUGUUCAUUCAAGAGCUUGGUUAUCCUAUCCCUACUCCAGUACUUUGAUGGGCAAGGUUGUUAAUGGUCACUUUUCUUCAUUAUUCUAGAUACGUACAUUCAGAAAACCAAGAAGCUUUACAUUGACAGCCGUGCUCGGAGAAACCUAGGCUCCAUCAACACUGAACUGCAGGAUGUACAGAGGAUCAUGGUGGCCAAUAUUGAAGAAGUGUUACAACGGGGAGAAGCACUCUCAGGUAUGUAAAACAUUAAGAGUCCUAUAGGGCGCUUCUCAGUCCACAGGCAACGAUAGCUUAUUUUGGGUUACCUUUUUCACUGUCACUCUAUCUAGUACUGCUAAGAAUUCAUCUCUCAGAAAUAGAUUACAUUAGGGGUGCCUGGGUGUGGCUUAGUUGGUUAAGCAUCUGAUUUUGGCUCAGGUCAUGGUCUCAUGGUUCAUGAGUUUGAGCCCUGCCUCGGGUGAGCUUGAGCCCUGCCUUGGGAUUCAUUCAUUCAUUCAUUCAUUCAUUCUCUCUCUCUCAUAAAUUAAAUAAAUAAAUAAAUAAAUAAAUAUCAUCAAGAGACAUAGCUUACAUUACAAAACUUUGUAUAUGAUAUGUUUUUUCCCAGCAUGAUUAGUUUUUGUUGAGUUGGAACAGUGUGAAGGUCCUAUUCCAUAUCAGAAGCAAUUACUUCUACCAAGGUAUUUACAACAUUAAACAAAUAUUUACAGAAACUCUUAACAUAAAUUAAGGGAAAUGAAAAGAAGAAUGAGAGGAAAUUGUCAAAGAUUUACUGCAGUGGUUUCCUGACUAGCCACUUUGGGAGACUUUAUUGCUGCCAGAUCAAAUGUUAUAAAAUGCCAUUUUCAUCAAGGUAUUCCUCUGCUGAAAAACUUUUAAAAUCUGUGACUACAAGAUAUGAUCUAGUCUGGUUUCAACUUACUUUUUGUUCUUGCUGAGUGCUUGUCAUGUGCAAGGCACUGUGUUCUCUGUAACGGAAGAUGAGGAGAUUGCAGACUUCUUUCAUGCUCUCUAGUUCACAAACAUUCUGCUUCAGCCAGGUCAGCUUCCUCACCAUCCUGGACCUGUUCUUAAGACCUAGGUACGAGCCGAGCCGCCUCUUCAAAGAAGCCUUCCCAGGUCCUGAUAGCCCACGUCAUGUUAAUCUCUUUUGUCCUUUAAACUCCUAAGGCACUUAGCUGUGUAAUGGUUCUUUUUUUUUUUUUAGCACAUAAUGGGUGUGUGUACGUGUGUACUUACUUACCUAAUUUGCCUUAAAAAAAAAAGAACCAUAUAUACGUAUGUAUAUAUUUACCUAAUGUUUCAAUGUUACCCAUGUAUUUAAGGUACUCGUAAAGGUAGUGUUUAUAUAUUUCAUAUACUUCUUUUAUUUCUUUCACAGUAAGGAUCACAAAUAGAUGCCUCCAUGAGUAUGUCUUGAACUUAUCCUAUGACAUACAUGAGUAAAUGGGUUUUCCUUUAUUAUGAACUGCAGAUUGUAACCUUUAUGUCAGUAGUCAGCAGUUGUCCCAGCAUGUAGCUUCACUCUUUAAGCAUCAAAUUUUGGGUGAGUGAGACUGUAAAUUUUCAUCAUAACAGACUUAGUUUCUACCUCGGAUAAAAUAGACCAGCACAAGAAUUUUUCUUAAAUCCAAAAUUUGUAUACUGGUCAGUUUACCAAAAGUGUAAAAGGAUCCUCUUGUGCUUUGCUGGUUACUACAAAGCUGAUGUGCUGAUUGAAAAAGAAGACAUUAGACCUUUGAACAGCGUGGGGGUCAGGGACUCCACAUAGAACUUUUGACUUCCCAAAAACUUAACGACUAAUAGCCAACUGUUGACUGGAAGCCUUACCCAUAAUAACAUAGACAGUCAAUUAACAUGUUAUUUCGUACGGUACACAUAUUGCAUACUGUAUUCUUACAAUAAUGUAAGUUAGAGAAAAAAUGUUAUUAAGAAAAUCAUAAGGAUGAGAAAAUACAUCUACAGUAUUCUAUAAAAAUCCAUGUAUAAGUGGAACUCGCACAGUUCAAACCCAUGUUGUUUAAGGGUCAACUGUACAGUUGUAAUCUUUAAAAAAAAUUUUUUUAAUGUGUAUUUUUGAGAGAGACAAAGAGUAAGUGGGGGAGGGGCAGGAAUUCUCUUACUAGUGCUUAUUUCAUAUGACGUGAUAUUUGUUCCGCUGCCCAGUUAUUCUCAGCAGAUUUAGAUCCGCUUAGCAAAUAUUUAUUUAUUGAGCACUGAGUAUUGCCAGACCCUGUUCUGGGCUCUGGGGAUAUAGCAAUAGACACAGUAGUUAAAAACCUCGGUCCAGUGAAGUGUCCAGUGUAGUAGACUGCCUGGAAAAAUUCCUCGCAGCAUUGUCAUGGUUAUUUCUCAUCUCCUAACUGUUUUCUUGUGUGACUAAGUGUUUUUCUUACAGAACAAAUUGCUAAUUUACAAGUGGCUGUCAUGACUGUGUCAUUAAGUAAUACCACAUUUCUCAACCAAUUCAGUCUCUGUUAAGCAACUCCAAAUAUUCCAAAAGUAUUCUCUAAAGAACAAACAAAUUCGUGUUGCAAAAUAGUCUCUUUAAAAAAAUUUAAAGAAGUAAAAUGACCAAAAUUCAUUUAUGUCACACCAAGAAUUUGUUUUUAUUAUUAAAAUAUGUCAUGUAUUUUAGUCCAAUCUAGCUUGUGUCCCUCUGGCUGUUUCUCUAAGUGCUCAGCUAACAGUUAUAGCAGCAUUACAAAUGUCCUUUUAGAAAAACAAAACUUGGUAAAAGGUUCUAAAAAGCUUAAUUUGGUAGGUGUUGGUGGCUUCCUAGCACCUGUGAUUAUGUUUUAGUUACAAGACAACUUUCCUGUGUCUGUUGAAACAUAAUUUCUGGUAGAAUCAUAAUAGUCUUUACCAGUGGAGAAUCUUGGGAAUUUGGGAGCGGUCAACUUUGAGAUACAGCUCAGUACUCAGUUUGUGGUUCAUUGAGUUUUCUGGUUACUGAGUCUUAUCUUACAUGGAUUAUCAUUUUUUUUCACAAUAUGAGAGAAUAAGAUUUAGACCAUUAAAAGAUGAUGAAAUGUUUAUUAUCAGCCAGCAUUUAUCAGUCUUAUCAUAUACAGGCAUCGUGUUCACUUCACAGGCAUUCUCAUGUACUUACAAUCCUGUUAUACAGUUAGUGUUAUUAUCCUCACUUUAUGUAGAUGAUGAAACUGGGUUUUAGUAGAGGCUCAGUGAAUUGACCAAUGUCACAUGGCUGGUGCAGCUGAGAUUUAAACCAAAGACUCUGAGGUCAGAGCCAGCACUCUUAACCACCUCGCUAUACAGUCUCAAGAAUCUGAACAUAAUUUGGUCUGAUAAUUUUUUUUAAUCUUUAUUUAUUUUUGAGAGAGAGACAGAGUGCAAGUGGGGGAGGGACAGAGAGCGAGAGGGAGACACAGAAUCUGAAGCAGGCUCCAGGCUUCAAGCUGUCAACACAGAGCCCGACAUGGGGCUCGAACCCAUAAACCCUGAGAUCAUGACCUGAGCUGAAGUCGGACGCCCAACCGACUGAGCCACCCAGGCGCCCCUGGUCUGAUAACUUUAAAAUGAAUUGUGGAUUUUACAGUGCAUCAGGAUCAUGGAUUAAUCCGUAUAUGCAACCUAACCUUUAAAAUAAAAAUGAAAUAAGCAUCGUGGUUGUUUGGCAUAGUGCCACUCAUUUAAGUUAUUUUUAUGUCUUAAUACAUUAGACAUAACACUUCAGUGACUAAUUAACAUUUUCCUUUUUUCCUCUUCAACAGCAUUGGAUUCAAAGGCUAACAAUUUGUCCAGUCUGUCCAAGAAAUACCGCCAGGAUGCGAAGUACUUGAACAUGCGUUCCACUUACGCCAAACUUGCAGCGGUAGCUGUGUUUUUCAUCAUGUUAAUAGUGUAUGUGCGAUUCUGGUGGCUGUGAAGUAGUGAAUCCAGUCACUGGCAAGGGUGAACCUAGAACCCGGCAGGUGUGUGUUUUCAGGAAGCUGAGCUCACAGAGAAGUGUAUUAGAAUUCCAAGUGGAACUUCUGCCUCUAAGGACCUUGCAAGAAAAGACAUGUCCUGAAAACGAAAUGUUACACCUCAUUUAAUGAAGCUUACCCCUUUAUAGAAAGUCUCUUUUGGGGGCAGAGGCUUUCUCUGGGUGCUGAGCUGUGUAUGCUAGGGAACAGUAGAUUGUUUUCUUUUGUUUUUUCCCCUCCCAGUGUUUUUACAUUUUUAAAACAGCACUGAGCGGGGCAUUUUCUUUUCUAAUGGAGCCAUCAGUGAGAUCUGGCUUAGCCAACCUGUGCUAGCAACAGUCUGAAAUUCCUUCAGAAAAGGCAGCCCUUUGGGAAGUUUCUGACUCUGUCUGAUCAACAUUCCUUUUGUUGGUGACAUUUGUGACUUUCAGUAAUCUUGAGUUUUUGAGGGCCUU